UUCUGUAAUUUUUCCUAAAACAAAGCAACCAAACCCGCCCCAACAGGCCCAAGAACUGAUAACCCGGCCCACCUUUGCUCUUCCUUCUCCAUUACAACUCUAAACAACGGCAAAAAACUCAAUCUAGGGUACAAUAUGCAUAAACAAUGCGUACACCAGUCAGCAAUAGUAUCACCACCACCAACAAUCAUAUGUCGAUCAAUGGCAACCCGACACCAACUCCGACCAUGCAAUAACUCAUCAAACUAGUCAACCCGAUAUCAACCCCAACAGUCAACAAUCGCAAACCAAUCUGAUACCCGCGAAGCAGCCCGUUAGAUUCCAACAAACAGUCGCAACAACAAUGAUUCCAAUCCGUACUAAAUAGUACGAUUUUCAGGUUGGAGAGGUCGGAUAGCAGAGACCCCGAAAAGCAUGGGAUUUUGCUAUUCGAAGAAGGGUUUCGGUGUUCAGAAAUUCGAUAAGACUCGUUUGAGCUUGAAUUUCUAGAAUAAGAAUCCAAGUUCAUUCCGGUGGUGACAAAAAUCUUCCGACGAAGCUAGUAAGUCCGAUUUGUUAUCCUGGAAAAGAUAAACGCAACUUUCCCUUUUAGUUCAUUAUUCAUCUUCAUCUUCUUUGUCCUAUUAGUAUCUCUAUAAUUGUAAUCAUAGUUAUGAUGGAAUUAUUUGUUGGAGAAAGCUUGAAAAGCCAUAGGUUUCAUGUGACGAAAAUUGUGUGAUUUUCUUUAUUAUCCUGUAGUAAUUAAAUCAAUUCAUUAAAUUUGUUGCUACAGUAAUAUUUAGGUCACGUUAUCUUUUACUGUUUAUGAUUUUCUUUACAUAUAAUCGGCAUGGUAAUGAAUUUGGUCCCAAUUUAUUUGAUGUCGUAAAUCAAUGUGGUUUGCAGAUUUGCUCCUGAAAUCAUUUUGUAUUUGCUUUUCUGCUCCUGUGUUGGGUUUUUGGGUCUAAAACUCUUGAGUUUUGCAAGACCAUAGCUAUCGAGCCUUUGUUCAUGUAAACAAUUAUAGGUGUCCUAGAAGUCUAAAUGGCCUUAGAGUAAAUGAGUUAUCCGUCUCUUUGGUAGUUGAUAAACUCAGAAAUGUUCAUGUUCAUUAACAUAGUUUCAUAUGAUUUUAAGUGUCACAUUUUUUUAUUUUUGAUUAAAUUUGACCUUCGGCUUGUUUAGGGUUCUUGGUCAUAAUUUAUCUAAGAACCUCCGAAAUCUGUCCUUGUUUGGUCAUUUGAAGUCCUUCUUGUUACUAUUUGCUUGAGCAUGAUACAGUCUAAUGCCAAACUGAUUGUUUUCUUUCUCGUUUUGUUGGCUUAAACAUGUUUUGUAUAAAGAACACAGAUUAUUUGGCUAAACCCGUUGAUCUUUAGCUUCAAGAGUCAUGUAAUGGUCAUAAUUUUUUGAUCUUUGAGUUAAGAGUGAUAAAUCCAGGUAGAUUAAAAAAGGUGAUGUGUACCUUUUUUUUUUUAAGUUGUGCCUUGUCUGAUUAUGUUCCCUGCUUGAUAAAUUUUAGCAUGGUUUUUCCUAUGGAUGGAGUGACCAACAAUUUCACUUGAUGAUAUUUAAAGUGAAUUGCUUUAAUAUUUUUUGUGAUUUGCUAGUAAGAAUUGUCUCUAUCUUUCUUGAGGUUAUAGUCUGUGUGCAGCCAUUUUGUUUACUUUGAUCAUUUUUCAUGAAUAAAUAUUAAUUCAGAUCUCUUUGUUGUUGAUGCAUGUGAUGUUGCUUUGGGUCCCAACGGGCUAAUUUCCCUUACAUCCCUCGGGCCAAAGAGACCUAAUUUCCAAGUCAACAUAAAGUCCUAAAAAUGAACUAAAACCUAAGAGAUUAAGGUUGUAUACAAAAAUAUACAGUAAAUAUACACUAUAUUCAUGUCUUGGAAGCUGAUAUACAGAUACAAGGAAGCAAUAUCGAGCUAAGGAAGCUGGUAUACAAAGUCCCAAGCUGGGUGUGUAUACAGUCAAAACGUGGGAGAAAAGGCUGUCAAAAAUGGGUUAAAAGCCCAAGUCCAAAUUUAAAAAAGGGAAAAUGGGUUACAACUGAUAUACGCUGCUGGAAAAUGGGUUAAAAGUCCAAGUUCAAAUUUGGGCAACUCUAAAAAAAUUGGCCUAAUAAGAGGCCCAAACAUAUUUUCUUUAUUUAUUUGUAAAAUUCGUAUUUGAUUAUUUGUUGUAUUAAAUUUUUUAAAUUUGGUUAACCUUAUUAAAAUCCCCAUUCAAGUUGUCA